rnacentral:rRNA from 1 species
GACGAACGCUGGCGGCGUGCCUAACACAUGCAAGUCGAACGAGAAAGUUGGCUUCGGCCGACGAGUAAAGUGGCGCACGGGGUGAGUAACGCGUGGAUAAUCUGCCCUUCAGUUGGGAAUAACUCAUCGAAAGGUGAGCUAAUACCGAAUAACACUGCCUGACCACGGUCCGGUAGUCAAAGAUAGCCUCUGCUUGCAAGCUUUCGCUGAAAGAUGAGUCCGCGUACCAUUAGCUAGUUGGUGGGGUAAUGGCCUACCAAGGCGACGAUGGUUAGCUGGUCUGAGAGGAUGAUCAGCCACACUGGAACUGAGACACGGUCCAGACUCCUACGGGAGGCAGCAGUGAGGAAUCUUGCGCAAUGGGGGAAACCCUGACGCAGCAACGCCGCGUGAGUGAGGAAGGUCUUCGGAUCGUAAAGCUCUGUCGGGUGGAAAGAAAUGUAUGGGGUUAAUAGCCUUCAUACUUGACGGUACCACCAAAGGAAGCACCGGCUAACCG